rnacentral:rRNA from 1 species
UACGUAGGUGACAAGCGUUGUCCGGAUUUACUGGGCGUAAAGAGCGCGCAGGCGGUCGUUCAAGUCGAGUGUGAAAGCCCCCGGCUCAACUGGGGAGGGUCACUCGAUACUGAUCGACUCGAAGGCAGGAGAGGGAAGUGGAAUUCCCGGUGUAGUGGUGAAAUGCGUAGAUAUCGGGAGGAACAUCAGUGGCGAAAGCGGCUUCCUGGACCAGUACCGACGUUCAGGCACGAAAGCGUGGGGAGCAAACAGG